UACGGAGGGUGCAAGCGUUAUCCGGAUUCACUGGGUUUAAAGGGUGCGUAGGCGGAUAUGUAAGUCCGUGGUGAAAUCUCUGGGCUUAACCCGGAAACUGCCAUGGAUACUAUGUGUCUUGAAUGUUGUUGAGGUGAGCGGAAUAUGUCAUGUAGCGGUGAAAUGCUUAGAUAUGACAUAGAACACCAAUUGCGAAGGCAGCUCACUAAGCAAAUAUUGACGCUAAGGCACGAAAGCGUGGGGAUCAAACAGG
rnacentral:rRNA from 1 species